GACAGAGGUGCCGAGCGUUAGGCGGAAUCACUGGGCUUAAAGCGUGUGUAGGCGGGCGAUCAAGUACCUUGUGAAAUCCCACGGCUCAACCGUGGAACCGCUGGGUAUACUGGUUGUCUUGAGCCGGCUAGGGGCGAGCGGAACAGACGGUGGAGCGGUGAAAUGCGUAGAUAUCGCCUGGAACGCCGAAGGUGAAAACAGCUCGCUGGGGCCGCGCUGACGCUGAGACACGAAAGCCAGGGGAGCGAACGGG
rnacentral:rRNA from 1 species